rnacentral:rRNA from 1 species
UACAGAGGGGGGCAAGCGUUGUUCGGAAUUACUGGGCGUAAAGGGCGCGUAGGCGGCCUUCUAAGUCGAACGUGAAAUCCCCGGGCUCAACCCGGGAACUGCGUCCGAUACUGGAAGGCUUGAAUCCGGGAGAGGGAUGUGGAAUUCCAGGUGUAGCGGUGAAAUGCGUAGAUAUCUGGAGGAACACCGGUGGCGAAGGCGACAUCCUGGACCGGUAUUGACGCUGAGGCGCGAAAGCCAGGGGAGCCAAAGC